AAAAAAAAAGUAUCGUUCGGUACGGUAAGGUUCUUCGGUUCAGAACCCCUGAGAACCGUGCACACCCCAAGCAGAAGCAAAAUGAUGCAGGACCUUUUGCUAAGGAUUUUAGUUUUUGCUCUACCUAUGUUAGUAAAAAAAUUAGGAAAUUUAAUCAAGUAAUAGUAUUUUAUUUAUUUAGGAAAUUUGAGUUGGUUAUCCCACUUGGUAUUGGUUUAGUAUUUUCUUAGUUUCGGAUUCCUAGUUCUACUACUAGGACAAGAUAUAAUGCUAUAAAUAACCAUGUCAUCUAGGUAUUUUUGUAAACAUUAUUAUUGAUAUUGACAAGUGAGAACUAAUAGAAUUUGAGAGUUUAUCUAUUUUUCCCUUUUUAUUGUUUAUGGUUCUACAUCACAAAGGCUCCAAACAAGAAUAAGUCCAAAACAAGAAGACUCGUGGUCUAUAAUACUUGUUCUUUCUAGUCAGAAUUAACAAAUUCUCCCAUUUUUCUUCUUUGGAUUCUGUUCCUACUCAUCAAAUUGCUCUCCCAUUUUAUUCCUCAUAUCUCUUUAAUGAAUUCUUCUUUUCCUACAAUUUGUUUUUUUAACAAAGCAAUGACACUAAUUAGAUUUUCAUGAAUAGAAACAAAAUGGGGAAAAAAGAAACACAUAAUGGAUUUCCAAAUCAGUAAGUUCAUUCAGAGGAGCAACUAAGACUAAACAAAUAUCAAAAAAUAAAAACCCACAACUUACCUUUUUGGCAUGGCCUUCUCAUCAGAUUUGUAACUCCAGUCUAUCCCUUUAAGUGCAGCCUUCUCAAGAGGAUCACCAACCAGUUUGUUGUCCACAAACACUAACGCAUGACAAGAAGCCAAAAUUUCCACAGUUCGAACGGGCACUUUAGUCAUAUCAGAUUCUAAAUUCAUUCCGUCA
rnacentral:misc_RNA from 1 species